rnacentral:rRNA from 1 species
UGGGGAAUAUUGGACAAUGGGCGCAAGCCUGAUCCAGCGACGCCGCGUGAGUGAUGAAGGCCUUCGGGUUGUAAAGCUCUGUUGAGGGAGAAGAAAACGGGUGGCGCGAAUAGCUCCAUUCCUUGACGGUAUCCCUUUAGAAAGCACCGGCUAACUCUGUGCCAGCAGCCGCGGUAAGACAGAGGGUGCAAACGUUGCUCGGAAUUACUGGGCGUAAAGCGCGUGUAGGCGGACUGACAAGUCGGACGUGAAAGCCCUGAGCUCAACUCAGGAACUGCAUCCGAAACUGUUAGUCUGGAGUGGUGGAGAGGGAAGCAGAAUUCCUGGUGUAGAGGUGAAAUUCGUAGAUAUCAGGAGGAACACCGGUGGCGAAGGCGGCUUCCUGGACACUUACUGACGCUGAGACGCGAAAGCGUGGGGAGCAAACAG